rnacentral:rRNA from 1 species
UACAGAGGGUGCAAGCGUUAAUCGGAAUUACUGGGCGUAAAGGGUGCGUAGGUGGUUUGAUAAGUUGGGUGUGAAAGUCCUGGGCUUAACCUGGGGACUGCGCUCAAUACUGUCAAGCUAGAGUACUGUAGAGGAAGGUGGAAUUCCCAGUGUAGCGGUGAAAUGCGUAGAUAUUGGGAGGAAUACCGGUGGCGAAGGCGGCAUCCUGGACCGGCAUUGACGCUGAGGAGCGAAAGCCAGGGGAGCAAACGGG